CGGAUGGUUUGAUCAUGUGAAACCGGCUCCUAAGGAUCCGAUCUUCGGUGCUACGGAGGCUUUCAUGGCCGAUCCAUGCACGAACAAAAUCAACCUUGGAGUGGGAGCUUAUCGGAUCGAUUAGGGGGAACCGGUUGUGCUUCUAUGUCUUGGAGAUGCUGAAUCGAAGAUCGCCGGUAGUGAGUUCUUGAUUCAAGUGUUACAAAGGAAAGGAGAUUUUCUGGAGUUCAGGCACUUUCUGGGACUGGAACGUGCCGACUGCUUGCUGAAUUUCAGAGCCAUUUCCAUCCUGAUGUUCCAAUGUUCUUGCCCGAACCAACUUGGUCUAAGUGAAACAUCACUUUCCCUUUGUUUGACAUGGCGUAUCAAGGGUUUGCCAGUGGAGAUCUUGAAGGGAUGCCAAAGUUAUAUGGCUGUUUCUUGAAGAUGGAUAUAUGGUAGGUUGUGCUCAAUUCAUAUGCGAAGAAUAUGGGUUUAUAUGGACACAGGGUUGUUUGUCUAAGGUCAGUAUCUAUUAGCUGAACUCUAGAUUGCUAUCAAUAGGGAAAUAUUGUGUAGUGUGAAGUAAUUGUCUUGCGUUUAAUCGAAGUGUUGCAGUACUUUAAAUCUUAAUUGGGUUUCUUAGUUGCUAGACAGGGUGUUCUUGGCAAAGAUCAACAGCAAGCCAUGAUAGUAAGAUUUCAGCUUCAGUGACUGGCCAGGGCAAUGUAUAGCAGCCCUCCCAUUCGUCUGAAGACUGAAUGGAUUGAAGAACUGAAGAUGCAGGUCGGAAUGGUUUGCUAUUCUGGUUUAAACUGUGAGCAGAUUGAUCUGCUGGCUAGAGAUUUUGGUGGUACAUAUGAACAGGGAUGGACGUGUGAGGUACCUCUAAAACUUUAUGUUAGGCUGCAUUAAAUUUGCAUCUUUGAUUGGCUGGUUGAUGAUUUAUGUUUUAAUUAAUUGAGCGAUAGUUAAAAUAUACGAAAUAAAAAAUUUGUUUCUUUGAUUUCUUUCUUGGUUUGAUUUAUUAUCUUUGGGCAGCCUGGCGGGUGUAACGGCAAGAAAUGUUAGUUACUUACGUAGAGUAUCAAGUCAGCAAUUAUGAUCUAAAAUACUUAAACGUCUCAAGAUGUAGCUUCUAAUGGCUUUUUGUUGUUUAAUUUGAAGAUGAUACGAAAACUCUAGCCAAUUGAAUCUAAGAAUUCUUAUGGAUAUAUGAACCCUUGGAUCACAAAUGCCACGCCCCUCCAAAUCAAGGUGAUUUCAUUCCAUAAGAUAAGGAAAUUUUUAGGUGAAAAACUAGAGAUAUUAGGUAUCCUUAAAACGAAAAGACAUCAUUCCAAGAGAAAUGAAUAUUUGGAUUAUCUUAUCGAUCAAAUAAGAC